rnacentral:rRNA from 1 species
CCUACGGGAGGCAGCAGUGGGGAAUAUUGGGCAAUGGGCGCAAGCCUGACCCAGCAACGCCGCGUGAAGGAAGAAGGCUUUCGGGUUGUAAACUUCUUUUGUCAGGGACGAAGCAAGUGACGGUACCUGACGAAUAAGCCACGGCUAACUACGUGCCAGCAGCCGCGGUAAUACGUAGGUGGCAAGCGUUAUCCGGAUUUACUGGGUGUAAAGGGCGUGUAGGCGGGGAAGCAAGUCAGAUGUGAAAACCACGGGCUCAACCUGUGGCCUGCAUUUGAAACUGUUUUUCUUGAGUGCUGGGGAGGCAAUCGGAAUUCCGUGUGUAGCGGUGAAAUGCGUAGAUAUACGGAGGAACACCAGUGGCGAAGGCGGCUUACUGGACUGUAACUGACGUUGAGGCUCGAAAGCGUGGGGAGCAAACAGGAUUAGAUACCCUAGUAGUC